rnacentral:rRNA from 1 species
CCUACGGGGUGCUGCAGUGGGGAAUAUUGGACAAUGGGCGAAAGCCUGAUCCAGCCAUGCCGCGUGUGUGAAGAAGGCCUUCGGGUUGUAAAGCACUUUCAGUGGGGAAGAAAGCCUUGGGGCUAAUACCCUCGAGGAAGGACAUCACCCACAGAAGAAGCACCGGCUAACUCCGUGCCAGCAGCCGCGGUAAUACGGAGGGUGCGAGCGUUAAUCGGAAUUACUGGGCGUAAAGCGCGCGUAGGCGGUCUGAUAAGCCGGUUGUGAAAGCCCCGGGCUCAACCUGGGAACGGCAUCCGGAACUGUCAGGCUAGAGUGCAGGAGAGGAAGGUAGAAUUCCCGGUGUAGCGGUGAAAUGCGUAGAGAUCGGGAGGAAUACCAGUGGCGAAGGCGGCCUUCUGGACUGACACCGACGCUGAGGUGCGAAAGCGUGGGUAGCAAACAGGAUUAGAUACCCCAGUAGUC